CCAGCACAUUCAAGAGACAGGUGGCCUCUGGUCUAUCUAUGCUAGUACCGCUACUACUUGCAGGUUAUUAUGCAGAUGUAAAGAAAAUUUGGACAACAGUCCUUGGAACCUGAGCAGCAGGUCCACUGAUAACAGCGAAUUAAAUGAAAUGUCUAAAAGUUAAUUUAUUCUGUGUAUGAUAGAAGUAUUACAGCAUCCUGAAAGAAAGCUGAAGCCUUAAAGGAGAUGUCAACAGCACAUAUGGACAUCUCUAUUACUACAUUUAAGAUAGCCAAAGUGACUUGUAGGAUAAGGUGAAAGUAUCAGGCUUUUCUGCCCUCCUGCCAUCAGGAUAGAUGACGGAACCCUGUGGUCCUGAAUGCAUGCCUUAUGGCGGGCACCUGGAGUAGGGUAUGGGCAUAGGUAGAUGGGAUUCACCUGGGCUAAGACUGGACUUUUAAGGGCAGCAUCACAGGGACGCCAGCAGAAGCCAAGAGAAGAGAAGCAGAGAAGCUGAACAGAAGCCGAGAGAGCGAACACCGGAGAGCCCAGAUAGAGCGAAGACUUGCUGGGGGCCAGGAAGCAGUCAAUAGCCUCCCG